GAUGAGCGCUGGCGGCGUGCCUAAUACAUGCAAGUCGAACGAAACUUCUUUAUCACCGAGUGCUUGCACUCACCGAUAAAGAGUUGAGUGGCGAACGGGUGAGUAACACGUGGGCAACCUGCCCAAAAGAGGGAGAUAACACUUGGAAACAGGUGCUAAUACCGCAUAACCAUAGUUACCGCAUGGUAACUAUGUAAAAGGUGGCUAUACUACCGCUUUUGGAUGGGCCCGCGGCGCAUUAGCUAGUUGGUAGGGUAAAGGCUUACCAAGGCAAUGAUGCGUAGCCGAAUUGAGAGGUUGAUCGGCCACAUUGGGACUGAGACACGGCCCAAACUCCUACGGGAGGCAGCAGUAGGGAAUCUUCCACAAUGGGCGAAAGCCUGAUGGAGCAACGCCGCGUGGGUGAAGAAGGUCUUCGGAUCGUAAAACCCUGUAGUUAGAGAAGAAAGUGCGUGAGAGUAACUGUUCACGUUUCGACGGUAUCUAACCAGAAAGCCACUGCUAACUACGUG
rnacentral:rRNA from 1 species